CUCAUUAUAUAAGUUAUCGUUUAUUUGAUAGCACCUUACUACUUGGGUAACCGUGGUAAUUCUAGAGCUAAUACAUGCUGAAAAUCCCGACUCCGGAAGGGAUGUGUUUAUUAGAUUCAAAGCCAACGCCCCCCGGGCUCACUGGUGAUUCAUGAUAACCGCUCGAAUCGCACGGCCUUGCGCCGGCGAUGGUUCAUUCAAAUUUCUUCCCUAUCAACUUUCGAUGUUUGGGUAGUGGCCAAACAUGGUUGCAACGGGUAACGGAGGGUUAGGGCUCGACCCCGGAGAAGGAGCCUGAGAGACGGCUACUACAUCCAAGGAAGGCAGCAGGCGCGCAAAUUACCCAAUCCCGACACGGGGAGGUAGUGACAAUAAAUACCGAUAUAGGGCUCUUUUGGGUCUUAUAAUUGGAAUGAGUACAAUUUAAAUCCCUUAACGAGGAACAAUUGGAGGGCAAGUCUGGUGCCAGCAGCCGCGGUAAUUCCAGCUCCAAUAGCGUAUAUUAAAGUUGUUGUGGUUAAAAAGCCCGUAGUUGAACCUUGGGCCUGGCUGGCCGGUCCGCCUCACCGCGUGCACUGGUCCGGCCGGGCCUUUCCCUCCGCGGAACCCCAUGCCCUUCGCUGGGCGUGGCGGGGAAACGGGACUUUUACUUUGAAAAAAUUAGAGUGCUCCAGGCAGGCCUAUGCUCGAAUACAUUAGCAUGGAAUAAUGAAAUAGGACGCGCGGUUCUAUUUUGUUGGUUUCUAGGACCGCCGUAAUGAUUGAUAGGGACAGUCGGGGGCGUCAGUAUUCAACCGUCAGAGGUGAAAUUCUUGGACCGGUUGAAGACUAACUACUGCGAAAGCAUUCGCCAAGGAUGUUUUCAUUAAUCAGGGACGAAAGCUAGGGGAUCGAAGACGAUCAGAUACCGUCGUAGUCUUAGCCAUAAACUAUGCCGACUAGGGAUCGGGCGAUGUUAUUCUUUGACUCGCUCGGCACCUUACGAGAAAUCAAAGUGCUUGGGCUCCA
rnacentral:rRNA from 1 species